rnacentral:rRNA from 1 species
CGUCUAUAUACGUAUAGCAUAUCAAUAAGCGGAGGAAAAGAAACUAACUAGGAUUCCCUUAGUAACGGCGAGUGAAGCGGGAAGAGCUCAAAUUUGAAAUCUUCAAGGUUCUACCUUGACGAAUUGUAGUUUAAAGAAGUGUUUUCUGUUGGAGUUUUGGUAAAAGUUCUUUGGAAUAGGACAUCAUAGAGGGUGAGAAUCCCGUAUUUGACCAUUAUCUUCCAACUUUGUGAUACACUUUCAAAGAGUCGGAUUGUUUGGGAAUGCAGUCCAAAAUGGGUGGUAAAUUUCAUCUAAAGCUAAAUAUUGGCGAGAGACCGAUAGCGAACAAGUACCGUGAGGGAAAGAUGAAAAGAACUUUGAAAAGAGAGUUAAACAGUACGUGAAAUUGUCAAAAGGGAAGCGUUUGACACCAGUGUUGUUUUCUCGAAAAUCAAUUAAAAAUGGCAGGAUGUUGUGUUGUAUUGACUUUAUCAGCUUUCUGCACUUUUUUCUUAUCUUUUUUAAUGCACUUUUCGUUUAACAAGUCAACAUCAAUUUCUUUUGUUGUAAAAGGGUCAUUGGAAGGUGGCUUUCUUUUCGGAGAAAGUGUUUAUAGCCUUUGCCUCUGCAGUCGGAGAGAUUGAGGUCUGCAGCGUAGAUCCUUCGGGGUUAGAUACAUUUGUGCUAAGUUAUAGCCUUUCAUAGACAACUUGUUGACUAUGAUCAGUCAUGUAGCUUACUCGCUUAUGCUAUUUUACCUACGCUUAGGAUGUUGAUCUGUAGUGCGUGCGC